GUUAUUUUAAGCUACUAGAUUCUCCUUGAACUCUAAGCCUGGAGGCUUUAGUGAUUCAGGCAGGAGAGGUUAGGUUCCUGACUUCUUUAGCAAGAGAUAGGUUUGAGCAUUAGGCAUUGUUGAGAAGGGAGAUUUUUCUAAAUUUCUUUAGUUGUUUUUUUUUCAUAGCAAAAGCCAGUUUCCCUAGACUUUCUCUUAUUUAGUAAAAAAAGAAAUACUUAUCCCCAUCUAGGCUUAGCCUCAAAGCUGGAAUUGAGAAGGAGAAUAUGACACAGAGAAAGCCUGUCCCUUCUGGUGAGAUGUUUGAGGGGAUAAGAGGAGUCAGACAGAGUGAGAGACUGAGGAAGAAAAAGAAGCCCUUUGGACAUGUAGGUCCUGGAUAUUCUGUCUCAUGAAGAUGAGGAACAGCAUUAGAGGACGCUGUGCAGAUCUGAGAUUGCAAGGCAAAGAAGAAUACAAUGACUACUAGUACUAUUUGGUGCCUCUGCCUUGAUUCAUACUACAGUGUCACCAGUUUUACCCAGCAUUGAUUUGCAUUAUCAGUACAAAAUGUCAAUGGUGACAAAAAUAUAUACUGUCUUAGUAUUAUUAUGAAAAUAGUUUCAGAGGAUCUCACAAUCUUCUGAAAGAGUCUUGGGACCCCCAACUCCUGCACUUUGAGAACCACUGCUCCAAAGCAUGGGUGGAAAAAUUCUACAUGAGAAAGAACAUCAGAUCAAAACUCUUACUAAUCUCUCUGCUAAAGAUGGUGGGUUUGGCUGCUGUCCUAGGAAAAGAUAAUAUAGAUGAAGUCACCAGGAAAUGGAAAGAAUUAGAUCAGGAAUUGGAUACCACCUAAAUGACCAGUCAAUAUGAGCUUUGAGGAAACCGAUAACAUCAAGCUAAAUGCUUCCUUAUAAACUCUUGAAGCAGAAAGUUGAAUAUAUACUCAACUAGCUAGAGAAGAUAAAACAGUCACUAGCAAAUUAUAUCAAAACUCUCAAACAAAAUAAAUGCAUUGUUGAUCAGAAAAUGAAAAUAUUAAAAUGAGAUUCAAAAGCUUUAGCAUGAACUUGAAGACUGAGCUUUCUUAUCAAGACAAUGAUAAGAAAACUCACAGAAAAUUAUUCUGUAGAGGGAGAGAAUGAUUUGCGAUUGAGAAGAAAAGUUCCACAGCAAAUAAAAAUGUGAGCCAUGCCCUGAAGAUCUGGAGGCCAAAAAAUAAAAACAAAAAUUAAAAGUAAGCCAAAGCUUUAGGAUAUGAAAUGAAAGGACUUACUUGCCCUUUGAAAAACCAAACCAUUGCUCUCGAUAACAGCUCUUGAAUUGCCGAUGAUAAUUUAGGCUGGACAAAAACCCUCUACAACUUAGGAGAAAAGAAUGCACACGGAAGACCAAAAGCAGCUGAAGACGUUAAACUUGAGAUUUUUAGAAAAGGGUCCUGAAGGCCUUGCUGAUCCACAUGCAGUGUUUGGCGGAGGCCCACAGGAACCACGCAAUUUGCUGGAAAAUCAGAUCCUCAAGACAGGAGGUAUGUCCAGCUGGGAUGGUUUGGGGAUUCGAGCUUCAAUACUGCCUUGCAUUGCCAGAUGCUAUCUCAUGGGAUCUAGACCCUAGCAUGAUAUAGUUCCCACCAGGCCAACGAUAUCCUGCUCUUUGUCCACAUGUACAAGACAAAGUUUAUCUUUCUGCUUCAGACACUGGUGAUCUUUCUACAUGAACAAGAUUCACAAGUUUGAAUGGGACUGCUUUUGAAGAGCAAUUGGUCCACACUUAAAAAAAAAUGGAGUCUGGUGGGAUGCAUUGUGAAGAUGCUUUUGGUUGUUUAGGUCCUCCUGAUCCAUCUCUACUACCUCAACCACAUCAUCCAGUUGAGUUUCCAUGUUAGGAAUGGAUCCAUUGGGAUACAAGGGGAGGGACCUCUUGUAUCUCCCUUUCCUCCAAGAAAUCCCUAUGAAGUCCUGAGAUUACUUUCCAUAGGGGAUUUUCCUGGUCCUUUCAGCCUGCAUUGGCACUGAGGGACAUCUGUCCAUCACGGGAGUUUCCCUGUGACUCUUGCACAAGAGCUGGAUUUUACUCCCAUUACCAAGAAAUGAAUUCCCUAGGGCUGAGCCAGCCUUCAAGAGAGCCUCCUUCUGAAGGUCUGAACCAGAACAAUAAUGUCUCUGUCAUUCUUCUAAAUGCAUUUUGAAUUCUUUUUUAGUUUAACAGCUGUUGUUUAAGUGAUUGUACAUUUGUUCACAUUGAAGCUUGAUAGAAUUAUAAUUCUUGGGGUAAUAUUUUAUAAGUGAAGUUGAUUUACAAACUAGAUUCUUUUAAAUGAAUCAUUUCCAUAUUAUUGUACUCUCUAGGUAGUAGAUUUGUAUUUUGAUUUGAUUAACCAGUUCUCCAUAACAUAAGCUAUAAGAGACAUUUUGCAUAAGUAACUAUACACAUUUAAAACUUUACAAGUCAUUUGUCUCUGUUAUGAACUGUUUUCUACUGUAAUAUUGAGGAAAUUGAGAAAGGUGUUCAAAGUUUAGUGAAAUAAAUUUUUAUUGGUUAAAAAUAGUAAAUGAGUAAAGCGGUGUCACAGAAUGCCUUUCUGCAUCAGAGCUGCAGUGGGGACAAAAGAGUAAGUACCCAUGCAUCUGAAGAGAGGGGCCAGGUUAUUCAUGUGGUCCUUGCUAAAUGGAGCUUUCAACCAGCCAGUUCCACCUCCCAUCCCAAAGCCCAUCACUCUGUUCUGUAUGCCUGUAUUCUAUGUAUAUGGGGUGAGGGAUAGAUAGAUGGGGAGAGGGAUAGGAGGGAUGGGGUAUAUAAAUCUCUUUGGGGAGAGAUGAAGGAGUGCGGUGUUCCCCUCUCCUCACUUAAGCCAGGUGAAAAAGUUCUCAAUAGAACUUCUGGGAGGUGUGCCCUGUGUUGGAGGACACAGAGGCUAGUUUCUGGUACACAUCUAGAAAUAUUAAAUGUGAGGGGCUGGUUAUACCUUCCCCAGGUCAGAGAGUUGGGAGUGCAGCAGCAGCAGGAAUAAGAAGUACUUUUAGCUGUAAUGGGACAAGUGUGGUCCUUGGAAGAUAGUUGGGGCUAUGUUGAAUUUAAAGCACUCUGCCCCAAAGUUCUGCCUGUGCCAGUGAGGUAAAUCACAAGCCAAGAGCCUAUCUUUCACUGGAACAAUGUAGAGGGAGGCCCCUAAGUGGGGAGUUCCCCAAAAAAUGGACUAAAGAGAAAGGGCUAGCAUUUAGGUAUCUGACCCUUACAGGGAGCUCUGACCCCAGAUUAAUAUCAGUGAAAUGACUUUUUAAUCUAUCUCUCUUCUCUUCUGCUGGCCCCCAUUCUCAGCAGAGAAGUGAGAAAGGAAGUAAAACAAAAAUAGGAAAAGCUGUCUUUCUGCUCCCUUCUUCUACUGCCUCCCAAUCAGGUUUCUAAGCUCAGAUCAAACCAAGCAUUUUAAAUGAAAUUAGGUUGAAAUUUUGACUUAGAUUUCAUUAAACAUUUGAAUACCCCAGAAUGAGAGUGUUAUUUAUGUUUAAUACUUUAAAUUGACUGAAAAAGCUACAAGAUCUGCUUCAAAUAUCAUCCAGCUGAGAGACAGAAAUGUUAAGAAAAAAAAAGAUAUCUCAAUAUUUUACCCCCACUUGGUUUGGAUUGGUAAAUAUAUUCAUUAUGGUAGCAAUAAAUACCUUUGUAUACAGACCUUUAUUAUUCAUUGGGGUAAUUUUCUUAUGAUAAAUGCCCAGAUGUGAAAAAAAUUGAUCAAAAUUUAUGAACAUCGUGAUGGCUUCAGAUAAGAAGUGCUAAACUGACAACCCACGUUUACCAAUAUAAACUGCCACUGGCAACACAAAGAAAUUAAUUUCAUACCAAAUCUCACUGUACCAUUGUCACCCUUAUAAUAAGAUAUCCCAAGUCAAGGUCACAACAAUACAGUAUAGAAAGUAGAACAGGGGUCAGAACUGCUAGUCUUCUCUUUGUACCGCUGGCUAUAUGAUUAUAUAUUUAGAAAAAACCUACAAAAAUUCAUAUGGAUUUUGUCUUGCAAAAACCAAAAUGCGAUUAUACAGUACAUAUUUGUAUUCACUUUGUUGUGAGUGUCUUCCCAUGUCGGUACACAAAGAACUGCUUUCUUUUGCUAAUAGAUGUCCCUUUUCUUAAAAAAUAAAAACAUUAAGUUAAAAAUUUAGGCUGGACGUGGGGGCUCAUGCCUGUAAUCCCAACACAUGGGGAGGCCCAGGUGGGCAAAUUGCUCAGAAGUUCAUGACCAGCCUCGGCAGCAUGGCAAAACCUGUCUCUACCAAAAUAUAUAAAAUAUUAGCCAGUGUGGUGGCAUGUGCUUGUAGUCCCAGCUACUUGGGAGGCUGAGGUGGGAGGAUCACUUGAGCCUGGGAGGUGGAGGCUGCAGGGAGCUGAGAUCAUGCCACUGAACUCCAGCCUAGGUGACAGAGCGAGACCCUGACACACACACACACACACACACACACACACUCUCUCUCAGGGAAAAAGUCACAUUAAAUGUGUCAUAUUAAUUAAUUGCUUGGCGUUACAAGCACUGUAGUCUUUCUUCCUUCCCCUCUUUCCCUUCUCUCUUUAUGGUUGUAUCCUGUAUUGUACACUACUUUCAGAAUAUGCGUUGUGUUGUUUAGCACCCACUCAUUUAAUAUAUAGGUGCUGCACAUACAGGCAUGAAGGAAACAAACAUGGCACCUGCUCUUUGGAGUUUCCACCCUCAUGGAUCUCUCUUUGACUUUCUGCUUUGCCUUCUAAGCUUAAUACUUAAAUUCCAAAUGCUUAUCAUAUCCUGUGUCAUUUGCUAAAAGUUGGCAAUAAUUAAGAGUGAUCUUUCUAGUAGCAACACAAAGUGGGAAAUUUGACCAGAUACAUAAGUUACAGUUGCUAAGGAAAUGAACAGUUAUUCACAGUUCUGGGGAUGGAGAGAAUUUUCCCUGUGGGUUUUCAUUAAGAAGAUACCUUGGCCAGGCACAAUGGCUCAUGCCUGUAAUCCCAGCACUUUGGGAGGCCGAGGCAGGCGGAUCACCUGAAGUCAGGAGUUUGAGACCAACCUGGCCAACAUGGUGAAACCCUAUCUCUAAUAAAAAUAAAAAAUAAAAAAUUAGCCAGGCAUAGUUGCAUGUGCCUGUAAUCCCAGCUACUCGGGAGGCUGAGAUAUGAGAAUUGCUUGAACCCAGGGGGCGAAGGUUGCAGUGAGCCUAGGUUGUGCCACUGCACUCUGGCCUGGGCAACAGAGUGAGACCCCAUCUCAAAAAAUAAGAAAAAAAAAAAAAGAUAACUUAUGAUGUAGAGCAGUAUGUUCUCAACAUUAUCUCAACAGUCAGCACAAACUGAAUUUCACAACACUGUUUUCUGGGAUGUGCUUCAAUACAGCCCAGUGACGUAAUGCCAAAUAUAAUUCAGAAAAAUGAAUUCUCCCAGGAUUACAAAGCUUAAUGACUAGGUAUACAACUUUCUGACUUAACCCAAUGAUAUAAUUUAGAGGGUCUGGAGUCCAGACCCCAGACACUAGAGAAUAUGUGGAAUACAUAUGUUUUAUGAAAUAAUUCAUCGAUAAUACCUCAUGCAACGUAAGUUUCUAUGAAUAUAAGUUAGCAAGGAGUUUGAGAAUAUACUUCACCAGUCCAGAUAUUUCAUGCCACUAGUUAUAGCAUAUUUGGACGCUUUAAUGGGUUCUAUAACAUAUCAAACCUGAUGCUAGAAACUUGAUGUAGACAGCUGACUCCAAAAUAUCCCUACCCUACAAUGCUCACCAUCUCAAAAGAAACCAAGACUUGUACACAAAUAGCUGUAAGAAAAAGUAUUAAAUGUCAAAGUUCAUAAAAGGAGUUUAGAUAAAGUGCAAUUCAUUCAUUCAACAAACAUUUGUUGAGUACCUAGGAUUUGCCAAGUACUGUGCUAAAUUUUGAUGAUACAUCAUGCCUAAUAAAAAGUGUGUUACCAACAAAAUUUUAAAAAAAUAAAAAGGCGCCAUUUCACAUGCCUGUAAUCCCAGCUAACUGGGAGGCUGAGGCAGGAGAAUCGCUUGAACCUGGGAGGCAGAGGUUGCCAUAAGCCGAGAUGGAGCCAUUGCACUCCAGCCUGGGAAACAAGAGUGAGACUCUGUCAAAAAAAAAAAAAAAAAAAAAAAAAAAAAAAAAAAAAGAAAGAAAUGAAAAAGAUUACAUUUAUAAGGGCAACAAAAAGUAUUAAAUAUCUUUACAAGCAUUUCAGAGAUAAAUUUAAAAAGACCUAAAUAAGUGGAAGGAUAUACUACAUUCAUGGAUUGGAAGACUCAAUAUUGUUAAGGUGUCAAUUCUUACCAAAUUAAUCUGUAGGUUUAAUGCAAUUACAAUCAAAAUUACCUUAGAAAUGUUUUUGUGGCAAUUGAUAAGCUGAUUAUAAAAUGUGUAUGGAAAUGCAAGAGACCUAGAAGAGCUGCAGUAGGGAGAAAUGAUCCCUCCAAAAUGGUCACAUCUUAAUUUAUGGAACCUGUGAAUAGUUAUGAUCCAUAGCAAAAGGACUUUGCAGGUGUAAUUAAGGUUAUGGAGUUUAAAAUAUGAAGAUUAUCCUGAAUUACCUGAAUAGUCCCAAUCUAAUCAUGUGAGCCCUAAAAAGCAGAGCACUUUCUUAGACUGAAUACAGAAGAGAUGCAGCAAGGAAGCCAGAGAAGUUUGAAGUAUGUGAAGGACUCAUCUUCAAACCAUUGCUGGUGGUUUGAAGAUAGAGAGGGCAGCAUGACAAGGACUGCAGGUGGGCUUAUAGCUGUUAGAGGCUCCCAGAUAACAGCCAGUAAGUAAGUGGAGAACUCAGUCUUACAGCUGCAAAGAACUGAAUUCAUUCAAAAACCUGAAUGAACUUGAAAGGAGAUUAUCCCUAAGGGACUACAAAUAAAUACCCAGACUGUCUGAUAUUAUAGUUUUGGCCUCGUGAGACCCAAAGCAGAGGAACUAGUUGAGCCCAUCUAGACCUCUGAUUAACAGAACUGUGAGACAAUAAAUUUGUGUUGUUUUAAGCUGUUAAGUUUGUGGUACAUGGUUACAGGAUCAGUAGAAAACUAAUACCAUAUCGAAGGCAAUCUUAAGAACAAAACUGCAGGACUUAACGUUCUUUGUUUCUAAGAAUUGUUCUCUCCACCACAUAGCUCUAAAUGAAAGAAUGGCUUUUGAGGCCAUGUUCGUCUUAUAUGACUCUUCCUCUCUGGCUACAACUGGUUGGAUGGACUGGGAUGAACUUGAUUGUCUGGGGAAUUUGAACUAAGCCCCGCAGAGACAGGGUCUGUUACUCCAAUGUAUCUCACCCCCUAAAUAAGUGGAGUAAGUAUUCAUGUGCUUGUGUAGUCUUCUUCCUUUGAAUCUGGGUUUUAACUAAAAGAAUGAAGCAGAAGUGUCACUGUGUCAGUUUUACUAAUGUGACCAUGUGUUUAUGUUUACAGUUAGGAAGGACAUUAAAAUGUAAAAUGGGGC
rnacentral:lncRNA from 1 species